rnacentral:rRNA from 1 species
GAUCCUGGCUCAGGACGAACGCUGGUGGCGUGCUUAACACAUGCAAGUCGAACGGAGCACCCUUGAAUGAGGUUUCGGCCAAAGGAAAGGAAUGCUUAGUGGCGGACUGGUGAGUAACGCGUGAGGAACCUGCCUUUCAGAGGGGGACAACAGCUGGAAACGGCUGCUAAUACCGCAUGACGCAUUCGGAUGGCAUCAUCUGAAUGCCAAAGAUUUAUCGCUGAAAGAUGG